UACGAAGGGGGCUAGCGUUGCUCGGAAUCACUGGGCGUAAAGCGCACGUAGGCGGAUUGCUAAGUCAGGGGUGAAAUCCUGGAGCUCAACUCCAGAACUGCCCUUGAUACUGGCGGUCUCGAGUCCGGGAGAGGUGAGUGGAACUGCGAGUGUAGAGGUGAAAUUCGUAGAUAUUCGCAAGAACACCAGUGGCGAAGGCGGCUCACUGGUCCGGUACUGACGCUGAGGUGCGAAAGCGUGGGGAGCAAACGGG
rnacentral:rRNA from 1 species